rnacentral:ncRNA from 1 species
GAGAGCACAGUACAAUGAAAGUUGUGAGCUAUGUUCGGGGGGGGGUUAUUGUCUAUCAUUGGCCUCUAUGGUAGAAUCAGUCGGGGAGGCCUGAGAGAUGGUGGUUUACCCUAU